rnacentral:rRNA from 1 species
GUGAGGAAUAUUGCGCAAUGGAGGCAACUCUGACGCAGCCAUGCCGCGUGCAGGAAGAAGGCGCUACGCGUUGUAAACUGCUUUUAACCGGUAAGAAACCCCAGGACGUGUCCUGGGUUGACGGUACCGGAGGAAUAAGCACCGGCUAACUUCGUGCCAGCAGCCGCGGUAAUACGAAGGGUGCAAGCGUUAUCCGGAUUCAUUGGGUUUAAAGGGUGCGUAGGCGGAGCGUUAAGUCAGUGGUGAAAUCCUGCAGCUUAACUGUAGACUGGCCAUUGAUACUGGCGCUCUUGAGUGCGCAUGAAGUGGGCGGAAUGUGCCGUGUAGCGGUGAAAUGCUUAGAUAUGGCACAGAACACCAAUUGCGAAGGCAGCUCACUAAGGCGAUACUGACGCUGAGGCACGAAAGCGUGGGGAUCGAACAGGAUUAGAAACCCGUGUAGUCC